CCGGGUUACUAUAGAUGGCAAUAACGAGUGAGAGAGCACAGAAAUUCAUCCCCAAAUUAUUCCUUUAGAAUAUUGUCUAAAAACUGGAGGGACCCAUUAUAUCUCCUCAUAAUACACGCCCAAAUAUGAUGAUAAUACGUGUUCAGGUUCUAAACGUCCAGAAUUUGACAAAAGAAGAUUGGUACAUUUCACUUUCGGUCGCUGGACACUUACAGUGAUUGAGACAGUCACACAUAUCAACUCAUCAUUCCUCCAGUGCUUCUAUUUUGAAGAAAAAUGAAAUUGGAGAACGCUUCCAGAUUUGCCAUUUACUUUUCACCCGCCGCCUGCUCAGCAAACACAAAUUGGCGUUGUUGAAUUUGGCUCUGUGGUUGAUCUCUGUAGGACUUUGAAGGCAACCUGAAUCAGGCCAGAAUGAAAUGAGUUAUUCAUUUCAAAUCCCAUGCAAUUCAAGCAUGUGAGCUGAAUUUGAUUAUGCUUCUACGAAGAAAAGGAACUAAGCAGAAAGUGAUUGACCAAGUGACUGAAAGAAAUCAGAAUUUCUAGGAACCAAGAAAACAAGCUAAGUGACCUUUCUUCUUUCCAAGGGUUCCUCUUCCCCGACAAAAGAUAAAGAAUUAAAGAUCUGAUUGCUUAAA